GGCUCUAUGGUGCAACGGUCAGCACAUCUGACUCUUAUUUGGAAGACCUACGUUCGAUUCGUAGUGGGGCCA
rnacentral:tRNA from 1 species